CUUUCUGCUCAUCGUGGUGUGAGCUGCUUUACUUUCUACUCCACUACCAUGCUGGUUCUGUCUUGGAGUUAGGCCACCACUGACUGAAAAUAGGCUCUCCAGUCUUUGCCUUCAACCUGGAUGUCAUCUCCUGGCUCCCAGCGCAGACUCUUCGGCUUCCAUUGUAGACUCUUGAGCCUUCUAGCUUUUUGCUUUGGCUUCUGCCUUGGAUUCUUCAACCUUCCAGUGCAGACAACUUUUCAGCCUGCAAUCGCAGACCCGCCAGCCUUCAAAUAAAGACUUUCACAGGACUCUACAGUGAGCUCCAAACAUUGUCCUGAAGUCUUUGGUUUCCAGAAUGCAAACAAGCUCUGCACUCUUCCUCAUCCAACUCUGGCUGACCAUGAGAGUAAAUGGAUUGAAAAGAUAAAGAGUUAAAGAGAUGGUGGAAUGUCAUGAACUGAGAGGUCUGCAGAAGGAAGAGCUGGGAUAGAGAUGCGUUUGGAGGAGGCUGCACUCAGCAGAAGAGGAAUUCAAAAGGCCUCCCUAGAAAUUGGUCAUCUUUGAACAUGUGGACUGAAGAUGAAGUGAGGGAACUCUACUUUCCUGGUAGAGAAGAGGGAAUUAUGAUUUUCUGUGGUUUUUGAUGAUGAGCCAUCAACAAGCCUUUGUGGAGUACUGUUAUGGCUUGUAUCUGGAUGUCCCCCCAAAGCCUAAUACAGGUAUCAUUGAAGCUUUUCGUAGGUAAGAUUUUCAGAUAUUUUCAGGUGUGUGAUGCUGGGGUCAGGGAUGCAAUACUAGAAUUAAAGGUGUGAGUACCUUCCAGAAGGGUGAGUGGCCUAGACGAGAUAUAUGAGACCAAAAGGGUGUCACUCCUUGUCACUGGCUGCUUGUUACUUAUUUAUAGCUGCUGCUUGUCUUCUGCUCUGAGAUGCCAAUUCUGCCAUGCAACCCUGUCUUGGACUCAGCCAAUUAUGGACUGAAACUUCUACAAACUGUGAGCUAAAUAAACCUUUUCUUCUUUGAGUGUCAGAUAUUUUAUCUCAGCAACAAAAAAAGUAAUUAAAACAAGCACCAUAAGGAAACUACCUUCUCCUUCACUGGCUGGCAUGGGAAAUGGAGGGAAGAGCUGAGAGUUUUCUUGCAUAUUACACCCACCAUGCUUUGAUCCUUGGUCUUGCAGAUGAAUAAAGUGACAUCUUUUGCUGAGCAGACCAUCACCCAAAUCCAGUCCCACUAGACUGUGACCAGUAGUGGAUCAGGCCCAGUAUGAAAGGGAUGGAGGGAUGGGACAGAGUGUGCAACAUUUCCAAGUGGGAGGCCUCUGUGCUGGUGCCUGUGGGAGAUCGUUCACCUCACUGACAGCUUCUCUGUGCUCAAGCCCCUGAAGGUGAUGCGAAAUGUUUCUCAUGCUGUGACCUGCACAUCAGCCCAGGUGGAGAGCUUUUCUGCACAUUCCCUGCAGGAAAAUACGAGUUGGUUACAGAGCAAUGCUCCAAAGGAUACAAUGCACGCAAAAGCCUCACCCCGAGGUGCUUACGUCUGAGAAAGAGAAGGAGACAGGCAAGAUUCCUGCCUGAAACUGCUCGCCCUGUCACUGUGGCCAAGCCCCAGGAAUUCUGCCCUGGCUGGAAAGAUCCAGGCCUCAGCACUUUUCUGAGCAAUGAAGACUUGGGCCAGAGACUCCACCCCUGUGAUUCCUGAUUCCUGUUCACAGAAGGGCAGCAAGACGCCUCAGAGGGAGCAGACCCUCCAGGCCCUGCUAGCAAGUGGAUCUUCAGACUUUCUCUACUUGUAUUAAAAAUUGUGAAAUAUAAGCGACUAUUAUUUUAUAGACUUUUCAUUAAAACUCGGAGCUGAGAAACUUAGCCCAGUACCUGGCAUAGAGGAAGCACUUCCCCUUACAAAUAUUCAGUAGAGAAAUAAUAAUUUUUAGUUAUAAAGGCAGCUAUCAUUGUAAACAGAUUUAGAACACAUGGAAAAAGGACAUAAUUAUGUUCCUAUCAUCUCCAUUCCUUGACACAACACUGCAAUGAUAUACAUCCUUCCAGACCCACUGAGUAUACCUAGAUCAUAAACCGAGUAUGUCUAUAUCACACAAGAUAAAUAUGACAUAUUUAUUAUGGGAUGUGGGUACUGUUUAACUGCAGGACUGUCCCUCUGUAUCCAGUGGUGAU